rnacentral:rRNA from 1 species
AUGCCCACGUUUGCACUGACUGUCCUUCAAGUGCCGAAGAAACUUCUAAAAGAGAUAGACAAGUGCAGGCGUAGAUUUUUAUGGAAGCAAGAUGAGGAGAUCACAGGUGGUAGCUGCAAGGUUAACUGGACAGCAGUGUGUGCUCCCACGUCACACGGAGGACUGGGCAUCCUCGACCUCGAGCGGUUCAGCUGCGCCCUUAGAUUGCGGUGGCUCUAGACAUCCUGGACCGAUCCGGAGCGAUCUUGGGUCGAUACGGAGCCACCGUGCAGCAACACCGACAAAGCCCUUUUCACGGCAGUGACCAUGAUCACCAUCGGCGACGGCGAAAUGGCUCUCUUCUGGCACUCCUCCUGGAUCAGGUCGAACAACCUAGCCAGCUCCUACCCCCUCCUCUACUCGCACUCCAGGCGGAAAAACAGGACGGUGUGUGACGCGUUUACGGGCAAAACUUGGAUAAAAGACCUGCGACACGAGAAUCUACAGCCACUGCUGCCGGAAUUUAUCAGGCUACACCGCACGAUCUCGUCGACUGGGCUAACUGACGGGAGAAGGGACAAGAUUAGAUGGACCCUAGAGGCGAGCGGCUAA